rnacentral:rRNA from 1 species
UACGAAGGGGGGCUAGCGUUGCUCGGAAUCACUGGGCGUAAAGGGUGCGUAGGCGGGUCUUUAAGUCAGGGGUGAAAUCCUGGAGCUCAACUCCAGAACUGCCUUUGAUACUGAAGAUCUUGAGUUCGGGAGAGGUGAGUGGAACUGCGAGUGUAGAGGUGAAUUCGUAGAUAUUCGCAAGAACACCAGUGGCGAAGGCGGCUCACUGGCCCGAUACUGACGCUGAGGCGCGAAAGCGUGGGGAGCAAACAGG